GAUGAACGCUGGCGGCGUGCCUAAUACAUGCAAGUCGAGCGAACGGACGAGAAGCUUGCUUCUCUGAUGUUAGCGGCGGACGGGUGAGUAACACGUGGAUAACCUACCUAUAAGACUGGGAUAACUUCGGGAAACCGGAGCUAAUACCGGAUAAUAUUUUGAACCGCAUGGUUCAAAAGUGAAAGACGGUCUUGCUGUCGCUUAUAGAUGGAUCCGCGCUGCAUUAGCUAGUUGGUAAGGUAACGGCUUACCAAGGCAACGAUGCAUAGCCGACCUGAGAGGGUGAUCGGCCACACUGGAACUGAGACACGGUCCAGACUCCUACGGGAGGCAGCAGUAGGGAAUCUUCCGCAAUGGGCGAAAGCCUGACGGAGCAACGCCGCGUGAGUGAUGAAGGUCUUCGGAUCGUAAAACUCUGUUAUUAGGGAAGAACAUAUGUGUAAGUAACUGUGCACAUCUUGACGGUACCUAAUCAGAAAGCCACGGCGAACUACGU
rnacentral:rRNA from 1 species